rnacentral:rRNA from 1 species
CAGUCGCCGCGGUAAUACAGAGGGUGCGAGCGUUAAUCGGAUUUACUGGGCGUAAAGCGUGCGUAGGCGGCUUUUUAAGUCGGAUGUGAAAUCCCUGAGCUUAACUUAGGAAUUGCAUUCGAUACUGGGAAGCUAGAGUAUGGGAGAGGAUGGUAGAAUUCCAGGUGUAGCGGUGAAAUGCGUAGAGAUCUGGAGGAAUACCGAUGGCGAAGGCAGCCAUCUGGCCUAAUACUGACGCUGAGGUACGAAAGCAUGGGGAGCAAACAGGAUUAGAGACCCGCGUAGUCCCUGUCUCUUAUAC